AUGGCCCCCAACCCCGCCGCAAUCGCCCUCCUGGCCGCCCUCGACGGCAAUCUGCGUCUCCUCAAGAAAAUGUCCAAAAAGAUGGAUUUGCGGGUAACAAAGGACCCCAAAGGGCUCAACGCACUCCAUUUCGCUGCAAAUAAGGGGUCCCUGGAGAUCUGCAAGUUCCUGGUGGAGGACGUGGGGGUCGAUGUCAACUCGGUAUCAAGCGUAGGUGCGACACCUAUGUUUUAUGCUGCACUCAAGGGAAAUCUUCAGGUUGCCAGGUAUCUUCUCGAUCAUGGCAGCGAUCCGGCGAAACCUAGUGAGAGGGGCUUAACGCCGCUGCACAAUGCAGCAGAGCAUGGGCAUUGUGAGAUUGUAAGACUGUUGCUGUCCAAAGGAGUUGACGUGGAUGUUAUCAAUUACCGAGGGACACCAUUGCACAUGACUGCUGCAAAGGGUCAGCAUCAGGCCAUGAAAAUUCUGCUGGAGCAUGGUGCUGAUCCCAACAGAGUAGUCAAUCAUAUCUUCUCACCACUAAUGAUGGCAUGCUGUGGGAACUCCUUGGAAUGCAUGAAGCUACUGAUUGAGGCUGGUGCUGAUGUGAAUGGUAAUAGUAGCACUGGACCAACUCCUUUAACGGGGGCAGUUGAUGACGGCUCAACUGAAUUCGUCAAGUUCUUGCUGGAGGCUGGAGCUGACCCUAACAUUCCUAACCAGCACGGGGAUAUUCCAAUCAAGAGAGCAGCAGUCCGUGGUCAGCGUGAACUUGUUGAACUUCUGUUUCCUAAGACAAACCCAAUUCCAUCUGUGCCAGAUUGGAGUGUUGAUGGGAUAAUUACAACUAUGAAAUCUCCACAGACCAGGGUUCAGGAUAGAGCUUCUGCGGAAGAACGGAAAGCUGAUUUGAAGUCACAAGGGAAGGAAGCAUUUGCCAAGAAGGACUACUUUACAGCAAUGUACUACUAUGGAUUGGUGAUGGAGAUAGACCCACUUGAUGCGACCCUGUUUGCUAACCGGAGCCUCUGCUGGCUGCGCAUGCGAGAAGGGGACAGAGCACUGGCAGACGCUCAACGGUGCAAAAUGCUGCGUCCUGGUUGGUCCAAGGCAUGGUACCGAGAGGGCUCGGCUCUCAGUUUCAUGGAGGAUUACCAAGGGGCAGUUGAUGCGUUCCAGGAGGCGCUGAGACUUGACCCUGAGAGCAGUGAGAUCAAGAAGAUGUUAAGUGAGGCCAAAAGCAAGGCUACUCGCUAA
rnacentral:rRNA from 1 species